rnacentral:rRNA from 1 species
NNNUCUGGUAAUUGGAAUGAGUACAAUCUAAACCCCUUAACGAGGAACCAUCGGAGGGCAAGUCUGGUGCCAGCAGCCGCGGUAAUUCCAGCUCCAAUAANGAANAUUUAAGUUGUUGCAGAUAAAAAGCUCGUAGUUNNAUCUAGGGUCGUGUCUGUCGGUCCGCCNACGGUGUGCACCGCCACUCGCGUCCCUUCUGCCGGCGGCGCGUUCCUGGCCUUAACUGGUCGGGNCGCAAUUCCGNNGCUGUUACUUU